rnacentral:rRNA from 1 species
UACGGGGGAGCAAGCGUUGUUCGGAUUUACUGGGCGUAAAGGGCGCGUAGGCGGUCAGCACAAGUCAGUUGUGAAAUCUCCGGGCUUAACUCGGAAAGGUCAACUGAUACUGUGCGACUAGAGUGCAGAAGGGGCAACUGGAAUUCUCGGUGUAGCGGUGAAAUGCGUAGAUAUCGAGAGGAACACCUGCGGCGAAGGCGGGUGCUGGGCUGACACUGACGCUGAUGCGCGAAGCGUGGGGAGCGAACAGGA